AGUGAACGCUGGCGGUAGGCCUAACACAUGCAAGUCGAACGGCAGCACAGUAAGAGCUUGCUCUUACGGGUGGCGAGUGGCGGACGGGUGAGGAAUACAUCGGAAUCUACUUUUUCGUGGGGGAUAACGUAGGGAAACUUACGCUAAUACCGCAUACGACCUACGGGUGAAAGCAGGGGAUCUUCGGACCUUGCGCGAUUGAAUGAGCCGAUGUCGGAUUAGCUAGUUGGCGGGGUAAAGGCCCACCAAGGCGACGAUCCGUAGCUGGUCUGAGAGGAUGAUCAGCCACACUGGAACUGAGACACGGUCCAGACUCCUACGGGAGGCAGCAGUGGGGAAUAUUGGAUAAUGGGCGCAAGCCUGAUCCAGCCAUACCGCGUGGGUGAAGAAGGCCUUCGGGUUGUAAAGCCCUUUUGUUGGGAAAGAAAAGCAGCAGGUUAAUACCCCGCUGUUCUGACGGUACCCAAAGGAUAAGCACCGGCUAACUUCGUG
rnacentral:rRNA from 1 species